rnacentral:rRNA from 1 species
AUUGAACGCUGGCGGCAGGCCUAACACAUGCAAGUCGAGCGAGCGGCGGACGGGUGAGUAAUGUCUGGGAAACUGCCUGAUGGAGGGGGAUAACUACUGGAAACGGUAGCUAAUACCGCAUACCAUCAGAUGUGCCCAGAUGGGAUUAGCUAGUAGGUGGGGUAACGGCUCACCAAGGCGACGAUCCCUAGCUGGUCUGAGAGGAUGACAAGCAACACUGGAACUGAGACACGGGCCAGACUCCUACGGGAGGCAGCAGUGGGGAAUAUUGGACAAUGGGCGAAAGCCUGAUGCAGCCAUGCCGCGUGUGUGAAGAAGGUCUUCGGGUUGUAAAGCACUUUCAGCGGGGAGGCGUUACCAGCAGAAGAAGCACCGGCUAACUCCGUGCCAGCAGCCGCGGUAAUUC